GGGUCAGUAGGUUGGUCGUGCCACCGGUACGUACUGGUCUCACUGAUUCCUCCUUCCUGAAUAACCGUAAUUCCAUUAAUUUGGUGUUGCGGGGAAACAGGACUGUUACUUUGAAAAAAUUAGAGUGUUUAAAGCAAGCUAACGCUUGAAUACAUUAGCAUGGAAUAAUGAAAUAGGACGAUCGAUCCUAUUUUGUUGGUUUCUAGGAUUGACGUA
rnacentral:rRNA from 1 species